rnacentral:rRNA from 1 species
UACGUAGGGUGCGAGCGUUGUCCGGAAUUAUUGGGCGUAAAGAGCUCGUAGGCGGUGUGUCACGUCGGCCGUGAAAACCUGGGGCUUAACUCUGGGCGUGCGGUCGAUACGGGCAUCACUGGAGUUCGGCAGGGGAGACUGGAAUUCCUGGUGUAGCGGUGAAAUGCGCAGAUAUCAGGAGGAACACCGGUGGCGAAGGCGGGUCUCUGGGCCGAUGACUGACGCUGAGGAGCGAAAGCGUGGGGAGCAAACAGG